AGAGUUUGAUCAUGGCUCAGAACGUACGCUGGCGGCACGCCUAACACAUGCAAGUCGAACGCAGUAGCAAUACUGAGUGGCAAACGGGUGAGUAUAAUGUGGGAAUCUGCCUUUUGGUUUGGAAUAACACGGGGAAACUUGUGCUAAUACCGAAUAAGCCCUUACGGGGAAAGUUUUAAUGCCGAAAGAUGAGCCCGCACUUGAUUAGCUAGUUGGUAAGGUAAAAGCUUACCAAGGCAACGAUCAAUAGCUGUUCUUAGAGGAAGACCAGCCACAUUGGGACUGAGACACGGCCCAGACUCCUACGGGAGGCAGCAGUGGGGAAUCUUGCACAAUGGGGGAAACCCUGAUGCAGCGAUGCCGCGUGAGUGAAGAAGGCCUUUGGGUUGUAAAACUCUUUCGUCGGGGAAGAAAAUGACUGUACCCGAAUAAGAAGGUCCGGCUAACUUCGUGCCAGCAGCCGCGGUAAUACGAAGGGACCUAGCGUAGUUCGGAAUUACUGGGCUUAAAGAGUUCGUAGGUGGUUGAAAAAGUUAGUGGUGAAAUCCCAGAGCUUAACUCUGGAACUGCCAUUAAAACUUUUCAGCUAGAGUAUGAUAGAGGAAAGCAGAAUUUCUAGUGUAGAGGUGAAAUUCGUAGAUAUUAGAAAGAAUACCAAUUGCGAAGGCAGCUUUCUGGAUCAUUACUGACACUGAGGAACGAAAGCAUGGGUAGCGAAGAGGAUUAGAUACCCUCGUAGUCCAUGCCGUAAACGAUGUGUGUUAGACGUUGGAAAUUUAUUUUCAGUGUCGCAGGGAAACCGAUAAACACACCGCCUGGGGAGUACGACCGCAAGGUUAAAACUCAAAUGAAUUGACGGGGACCCGCACAAGUAGUGGAGCAUGUGGUUUAAUUCGAAGAUACGCGCAGAACCUUACCAACACUUGACAUGUUCGUCGCGACUCUAAGAGAUUAGAGUUUUCGGUUCGGCCGGACGAAACACAGGUGCUGCAUGGCUGUCGUCAGCUCGUGUCGUGAGAUGUUGGGUUAAGUCCCGCAACGAGCGCAACCCUCACUUUUAGUUGCCAUCAUUAAGUUGGGCACUCUGAAAGAACUGCCAGUGAUAAGCUGGAGGAAGGUGGGGAUGACGUCAAGUCCUCAUGGCCCUUACGUGUUGGGCUACACACGUGCUACAAUGGUAUCUACAACAGGAAGCAAGACUGCGAGGUCAAGCAAAUCCUUAAAAGAUACCUCAGUUCGGAUUGCACUCUGCAACUCGAGUGCAUGAAGCUGGAAUUACUAGUAAUCGUGGAUCAGCGUGCCACGGUGAAUGCGUUCCCGGGUCUUGUACACACCGCCCGUCACACCAUGGGAGUUGGUUCUACCUUAAGGCAAGGUUUCAAACCCUUGACCACGGUAUAGUCAGCGACUGGGGUGAAGUCAUAACAAGGUAGCCG
rnacentral:rRNA from 1 species